GACGAACGCUGGCGGCGUGCUUAACACAUGCCAGUCGAACGGAAAGGCCCUGCUUUUGUGGGGUGCUCGAGUGGCGAACGGGUGAGUAACACGUGAGUAACCUGCCCUUGACUUUGGGAUAACUUCAGGAAACUGGGGCUAAUACCGGAUAGGAGCUCCUGCUGCAUGGUGGGGGUUGGAGAGUUUCGGCGGUUGGGGAUGGACUCGCGGCUUAUCAGCUUGUUGGUGGGGUAGUGGCUUACCAAGGCUUUGACGGGUAGCCGGCCUGAGGGGGUGACCGGCCACAUUGGGACUGAGAUACGGCCCAGACUCCUACGGGAGGCAGCAGUGGGGAAUAUUGCACAAUGGGCGGAAGCCUGAUGCAGCAACGCCGCGUGCGGGAUGACGGCCUUCGGGUUGUAAACCGCUUUCGCCUGUGACGAAGCGUGAGUGACGGUAAUGGGUAAAGAAGCACCGGCUAACUACGUG
rnacentral:rRNA from 1 species